UUGGAUGAACAAUAUUUGUCUACUUGCAAGCUUCAUUAUGAGGUGGAUAUACUUCUGCUUGUUUUGGAUGUGGAAUGCACACGAUCACAUCAAAUUAAUUCGAUACAAAGUGUUCGGAAAAAAAUUAUUUAAUCGCAUUUCAAUAUGAAGCGGACAUAGGUACAUGAUCAACAUGCUCAGCCAUUGGACGUGUUUUGCAAUUGGCGAUUACAUAUGGCUACGGAAUCGUAAACGUUUGGUAUUUAUAUGAUAUAAUUUCGCAUAAAUAUGUUCCAGUUGAUACAGAAUUCGUUAUUUUCAUCGAAACCCUUGUUAUGAUGAAUUGCUUAUUGAUUAGAGUUGUUAAUAUUGUUGCAAUGAUUCAUAUGCACACGAUAGUUCAUACCACCAUUCUGAUGGCUUUCGUCUAUGUGAUAUCACCGGUCCUUUGUCCUACACACGAAGGAUCAAGGAUAUAAUAUUGAAAAUGUAUGUCAAAUCAAUCAGGCUCGAUUUAUCUUCCUUUGGAUGUGCUGUAUAAUCAACAGGGCGACGGUGGUUUUCGGACAUUGAAAUCUUUUCUGCAAAACAUAAAAAUCGAAGUCAA